AAAUGCCAUCAAUGAGACAGCUUGCAGGCAACAAAAUGACAGUGAUGCCCAAUGGGUUGAAGCAAAUCUGGGUCCAUUCGUCCAAUAUACAGCAUACUCUGACCUCAAAGACUUCAACAUCUCUACGGCUGGAUUGUUGUCAACACUCGAUCCCUCUGAGGUGGCACAGCUGCUACUGAGCUCUGGAGCCUCCAACGACACAGAUUU